GGGCCCGUAGCCUAGCCCGGAUUAAGGCGCCGGCCUUCGGAGCCGGAGACCGUGGGUUCAACUCCCACCGGGCCCGCCA
rnacentral:tRNA from 1 species